GGAAAUUGCUGGCUUGCCGAAAUGACAUUGUUGGCAUUAACUAGAUUAACUUCUGAAAUGAAAAGCCCACGAAAGCAAAACCAAAACAGAGAAGGAGCCAUGGCUUCCGCUGGGGGCUUCACGGUUCCCUGCUUCGGCCUGCCUGACCCCCUACCCAGGGCUCCCAGCCAUCCUCCCUGGACAGGCUGGAGAGGAGGCAGGAGCCCCUUCCCUGUCUUCACACAGGACCUCACCUCACGGAUCUCGGGAAAAGAGUACUGGGCACUGAGCCCCACACUGGGACUGGGAACUCUUUCAGAAGGUUCUAGUCCGCAGGGGAGAUAGGCAGGCAUGUCAACACCAGGCAGAGUGGUGAGAGAGGAGUCAAGAAAGCCAAGAACUGAUGGACCCAGAGUCCAGGGAUCAGAGAAGCAACACCCCGGCUGAAUGACAAGCAGAUCUCCAGCCAGAGCUUCUUGAGAAGGCAAACCAGGAAGGGGGUAAGAGGAAGACACAGAGAUGCGAGGAGGAGCCAAGGGCAGUCCUGCGUGGCUGGAGCACAGAGGGAAGGGAUGACACCGUUGCAUUUAGUGGUCCCAUCAGGGGUGAGGCAGUUGGCAUCCCACAGCACCAAGCAAUUCUCCAACACCAUCAGCUGGGUGUCCUACAAUCAAACUCCAUUCUGACAGCACCUGUCUGGAGGCAGUGGCAGAUUCCACAGGGUAAGGCUCAGGCCCGCAAGACUGCCCCCACUUCAGAGGCCAGCUGCAAGUCUAGGUUUCAUUGUGCUUCCGACCAUCUGCCUGUAAAUUAGAGGCUUCCAUGACUCCCUCCUUGGGUUCAGUUACUUUGCUAGAUGGCUCACAUGACUCUGGGAUCCUAUGUAUUCACUGGAUUGCCAAUUUAUUACAAAAAAUAUUAAAGAAUAGGAACCAACAGCCAGAUGAAGAGAUCCAUAGGG
ensembl:lncRNA